rnacentral:rRNA from 1 species
GAGGCGAACCGGGGGAACUGAAACAUCUAAGUACCCCGAGGAAAAGAAAUCAACCGAGAUUCCGAAAGUAGCGGCGAGCGAAAUUGGACUAGCCCUUAAGCUUUACACGCGUUAGACGAACGGUCUGGAAAGUCCGACGAUACAGGGUGAUAGUCCCGUAGUUGACGACGUGUGUUCAGUGAAAUCGAGUAGGGCGGGACACGUGAUAUCCUGUCUGAAUAUGGGGGGACCAUCCUCCAAGGCUAAAUACUACUGACUGACCGAUAGUGAACCAGUACCGUGAGGGAAAGGCGAAAAGAACCCCUGUGA